UACGUAGGGUGCGAGCGUUGUCCGGAAUUAUUGGGCGUAAAGGGCUCGUAGGCGGUCUGUCACGUCGGGAGUGAAAACUCAGGGCUUAACCCUGAGCCUGCUUCCGAUACGGGCAGACUAGAGGUAUGCAGGGGAGAACGGAAUUCCUGGUGUAGCGGUGAAAUGCGCAGAAUAUCAGGAGGAACACCGGUGGCGAAGGCGGUUCUCUGGGCAUUACCUGACGCUGAGGAGCGAAAGUGUGGGGAGCGAACAGG
rnacentral:rRNA from 1 species